UUCCGGUUGAUCCUGCCAGAGGCGACCGCUAUUGGAGUUCGAUUAAGCCAUGCGAGUCGCGAGAAAUUAGAUUCUCGGCGUACCGCUCAGUAACACGUGGAUAACCUGCCCUGUUCAGGGGGAUAACCUCGCGAAAGUGAGAAUAAUACCCCAUAGUUCACCAUGCCUGGAACGGUUGGUGGAUGAAAGCUACGGCGGAACAGGAUGGGUCUGCGGCGUAUCAGGUUGUAGGGGGUGUAAUGGACCUCCUAGCCAUCGACGCGUACGGGUUGUGGGAGCAAUCGCCCGGAGAUGGAUUCUGAGACACGAAUCCAGACCCCACGGGGUGCAGCAGGCGCGAAAACUUGACAAUGCGAGAAAUCGUGAUCAGGGAACUCCAAUUGACGCAGUUUUUACUGUUGUCUGAACCGACUCUAAAUAGGUCGGGUAAUAGGGGCGGGAAAUAUCGGUGCCAGCCGCCGCGGUAAUACCGAAGCCCCAAGUGGUCGUCGAUCUUAUUGGGCCUAAAACGUCCGUAGCCGGUUUGGUACAUUCGUGGGUAAAUCAGACAGCUUAACUGUCUGAAUUCUGCGAGGACGGCCAAACUUGAGACCGGGAGAGGUGUAGGGUACCUGCGGGGUAGGGGUAAAAUCCUGUCAUCCCGUAGGGACCACCAGUUGCGAAGGCUCUACACUAGAACGGAUCUGACGGUCAGGGACGAAGCCUAGGGGCACGAACCGGAUUAGAUACCCGGGUAGUCCUAGGUGUAAACGCUGUGGACUUUGUGUCGGGGGUCUUUCGAGGACUCUCGGUGCCGGAGUGAAGAUGUUAAGUCCACUGCCUGGGGAGUACGGUCGCAAGGCUGAAACUUAAAGGAAUUGGCGGGGGAGCACCGCAACGAGAGGAGCGUGCGGUUUAAUUGGACUCAACGCCGGAA
rnacentral:rRNA from 1 species